UACGUAGGGUGCGAGCGUUAAUCGGAAUUAUUGGGCGUAAAGAGCCCGUAGGCGGCCUGUUGCGUCCGCUGUGAAAGCCCGGGGCUUAACCCCGGGUCGGCAGUGGAUACGGGCGGGCUAGAGGUAGGUAGGGGAGAAUGGAAUUCCCGGUGUAGCGGUGAAAUGCGCAGAUAUCGGGAGGAACACCGGUGACGAAGGCGGUUCUCUGGGCCUUACCUGACGCUGAGGAGCGAAAGCGUGGGGAGCGAACAGG
rnacentral:rRNA from 1 species